GGCGGUCUUAUUAUAAUGAUCGUCUUUGAAUAAUUAAAAAAAAAAUUGUGCUCGUUCAUAUUUCACAAACAUAUUUUGCGUCCGUUCCGCAUCUUUCUUCUCUCCUCUUCCAUUUUCCCAAUCUAAUAUCCAAAGCUCUCCACCUCCUCCAGCAUCUCCUCUUCCCUUUUCAUAAACAAAUUAUGCGGCUCGCGGAUGAACGCAAGCUCCUCAUGGUCCACAUGCCAGCCACGAGACAGCCAGUUGUGUGGCGGCACAAGGCGAAAAAGGAAAAAAGCAAAAUCACUUCGCAAUCGAUUACGGUUUUAACGCCAUCGUUGCCGCCGCGAACGGGUCGAAGCUCACGAUUCUGAAGUCCCCGACGGGCCGCGAGAUCGAGGCCCACUAUGAGUUGGGCCGCGAACUGGACCACAGCGAGUUCGGGAUAACCUACCUCUGUACGAACAAGGAGUUGGGGAUUUCAUAUGGUUGCCGCUGAAAGAUUGAAGCUUUUUUGUGUAAGAGGAAGAGGGGGGCUUAGAAUUUUGUUGUGGGUUGCAUUUUGGUGGUGCGUGAUUCUACUGUUGGUUAAUCCAGUGGCAGGUCUCAGACCCUUGAGAGAAAGGACUGGGUCUUGGAAUGAUGAGGGGCUAUUUACAAGAAAGGAGGAGAGCAACUUAGGUCCAUUUUCACAAUGGAACAUAACAGGAACUUACAAAGAGCAUAACAAAGGCAAAGGGACAGAGCAUAAUGAUCAAAUACAUAUGAUCAGAUGCAGAUGCAGAAAAGUUCAUAGUGUAUAGACGGCAGCAGAAGCUUAUUCAGCCCCUUCUACUGUUCUAACAUCACAUUCACAUGAUGGACUUCAUGUUUUUGACGAUUUUAGAGAGACUUAUGCUUGGCUGAGUCAUAAUACAGAAAAAGAUGAUAAAGUGAUAAAGUUUAUCCUGAGAGUAUUUUCAAGGAAGACUCUUAUGUCCAGUCUGCAGUUACAGUUAAUGGUAGUCCUGAAAGACUGUGGAAAUCAAAGUUGUCUGUUUCAGAUUUUGACAAGUCUGAGUCUUCUACCAAAUUGCCCAAGGGAGUAAAGGAAAACACAUUGAUGGCAAAACUCCUUGAAGCAAGAUUAGAGGCACAAAAAUCUUGCUCUAGAACUUGCAAAAGCACUUUUGGAUCAACUAGAGAAGCUUAUAAUGAGAAUAUCAAAUAGUUGCAAUGGGUAUCAAUGUAGGAUCUUUCAUGAAAUUCUAGUAACCAUUUUGUACACAUGAAUCUUUUAGCUAUGUACAUGGUUGGAUGAAAAUGAAAGUUGUAUCCAUUAUGUAAAAGAUGUUUUAAGUCAUUAUGCCCACCAAGCGUUGGGUGGUACUAGUGGUCUGGGAUACAUAGAAUUGACCUUAUUUUCAAAUAUCCUUCUAGUUAUAGCAAGCAAUAUUUUUUAAAGGCCACAUUUCAAUCCACUUCUUGUGACCUCAAGCUAGCUUCAUAUUUGCAUCUACAAUUUGCAUUUUCUAAGGAAGCAAGGAAUAUUUGUUUUGUGUGUGUAUAUAUGUAUAUUUUUCAGAAUAAUCUUUUGAUGAAUACCUAGUUCUUGAUGCAAUCAAAAUAGCAAAUUAUGUUUACUAAGGAAGAUAGAUCAGUAACUAAAUAAUCCUAUUUAAGUGAGAAAUGUCAUACUUGCAGUCCAAGCAAUGCAGCUAUAACACCCCCAAGCGAAUGCCCAACUAUGCAGACAUUAUACCCAAAGCAUUCACAACCAAAUCCCAGUAAUUUAGAAAGAAGUCCAUAGGAUUCCGAGUCUGCAUUUCCACUUUGAAAAACAAUUGUUGUAAAAAAAGAAGUUUAUGUAAUGAAGUCAAAUGUUUUUAAAUUAAAUACAAUUUAAGAUUUAUUUUGGGAAUUGAUAAAAAGUAAGAUGGUUUACUUAAUUAUAUAACCAUUCAAUGGUGACUAUUUCACUUUACAAUAACCAAAGU